rnacentral:rRNA from 1 species
AGCGAACGCUGGCGGCAGGCCUAACACAUGCAAGUCGAACGAAGCCUUCGGGCUUAGUGGCGGACGGGUGAGUAACACGUGGGAACGUACCUUUUGGUUCGGAAUAACGCAUAGAAAUUUGCGCUAAUACCGAAUGAGCCCUUCGGGGGAAAGAUUUAUCGCCGAAAGAUCGGCCCGCGUUGGAUUAGGUAGUUGGUGUGGUAACGGCGCACCAAGCCUACGAUCCAUCGCUGGUCUGAGAGGAUGAACAGCCACACUGGGACUGGGACACGGCGCAGACUCCUACGGGAGGCAGCAGUGGGGAAUCUUGCGCAAUGGGCGAAAGCCUGACGCAGCUAUGCCGCGUGAAUGAUGAAGGUCUUAGGAUUGUAAAAUUCUUUUACCAGGGACGAUAAUGACGGUACCUGGAGAAAAAGCCCCGGCUAGCUUCGUGCCAGCCGCCGCCGUAAUAC